UACGGAGGGUGCGAGCGUUGUCCGGAAUCACUGGGCGUAAAGGGCGCGUAGGUGGCCUGUGGAAGUCUGCGGUGAAAGCCCGGCGCUCAACGCCGGGUCGGCCGUGGAUACUCUCGGGCUCGAGCUUACUAGAGGCAGAUGGAAUUCCGGGUGUAGCGGUGGAAUGCGUAGAGAUCCGGAAGAACACCGGUGGCGAAGGUGGUCUGCUGGGGUAAUGCUGACACUGAUGCGCGACAGCGUGGGGAGCAAACAGG
rnacentral:rRNA from 1 species